rnacentral:tRNA from 1 species
AAAUUUGAAGCGACAGCGCACUUAGUUUCGACCUAAUUUAUGGUGUAAAACACCCAAAUUUA